UUGGAUGGGGGAACCCUGACGCAGCAACGCCGCGUGGAGGAUGAAGUCCCUUGGGAUGUAAACUCCUUUCGACCGGGACGAUACUGACGGUACCGGUGGAAGAAGCACCGGCUAACUCUGUGCCAGCAGCCGCGGUAAUACAGAGGGUGCGAGCGUUGUUCGGAAUUAUUGGGCGUAAAGGGCGCGUAGGCGGUGCGGUAAGUCACCUGUGAAAUCUCCCGGCUCAACCGGGAGUCUGCAGGCGAAACUGCCGUGCUGGAGUAUGGGAGAGGUGCGUGGAAUUCCCGGUGUAGCGGUGAAAUGCGUAGAUAUCGGGGGGAACACCUGUGGCGAAAGCGGCGCACUGGACCAUAACUGACGCUGAGGCGCGAAAGCUAGGGGAGCAAACAGGAUUAGAUACCCUGGUAGUCCUAGCCCUAAACGAUGGAUGCUUGGUGUGAUCGGUACCCAAUCCGAUCGUGCCGUAGCUAACGCGUUAAGCAUCCCGCCUGGGGAGUACGGUCGCAAGGCUGAAACUCAAAAAAAUUGACGGA
rnacentral:rRNA from 1 species